rnacentral:rRNA from 1 species
GACGAACGCUGGCGGCGUGCUUAACACAUGCAAGUCGAACGGAAAGGCCCUGCUUUUGUGGGGUGCUCGAGUGGCGAACGGGUGAGUAACACGUGAGUAACCUGCCCUUGACUUUGGGAUAACUUCAGGAAACUGGGGCUAAUACCGGAUAGGAGCUCCUGCUGCAUGGUGGGGGUUGGAACGUUUCGGCGGUUGGGGAUGGACUCGCGGCUUAUCAGCUUGUUGGUGGGGUAGUGGCUUACCAAGGCUUUGACGGGUAGCCGGCCUGAGAGGGUGACCGGCCACAUUGGGACCGAGAUACGGCCCAGAGUCCUACGGGAGGCAGCAGUGGGGAAUAUUGCACAAUGGGCGGAAGCCUGAUGCAGCAACGCCGCGUGCGGGAUGACGGCCUUCGGGUUGUAAACCGCUUUCGCCUGUGACGAAGCGUGAGUGACGGUAAUGGGUAAAGAAGCACCGGCUAACUACGUG